UUAUGUAACCUCCUCCUACCCACCUUCUUCCCCAAAAAGUUUUUUUGUUUCUUGUUGUUUUGCGAGCGGCCUCAGGCGCAUCCUGGGAAAUGCAGUUUGCCCGGGAACCUGCCUCCAGGUCGCUCAACAGCAGCAGCGCCGGGCAGGCGCGCGCCACGCCGAGGGACGGGCGCGGAAUCUCUCCUUGUAUCCUUGCAUCGAGACUCUCUGCAGCGGCGGGGCGCUGGCGGAGGAAGCACCUGAGUGUCCCGCACCUGCUUUCGAGUUUGCUUUCUUGGAUCAUUCUGUUACAUGGUCUUUGUCCCCCCCUUUCCUCAUAGCAGCCUUGCUGGGGAGGGCUUUCGGCAGGGGGUAAUUGGCCCAGAGAAACUCGUGAAGCAGAUAUGGGGCCGGAGACGGAUUUACGCGCAAGCUAGGCUUGCUACCAUACUGGGGAACGGGGUCUGGAGGACCCAGAUGUGGUCCGGUGGUGUGUACCUAGCACAGAAAUGAGGAAUGUGCAGCCCUCCAGUGGUUGUCAGACUGCAGUUCCCAUCUUCCCUCACAGCUGACUAUGGCUGGCUAGGACUGAUGGGAUUCAAGUUCAUCCAAGUUAGAGACGUGCUCCCCACACAACCCAGAACCUGGAGAUUUCAGGCCUACAUCUCCCAUCAAUCCUCAGCAUUGGCCCUGGGGGUUGAGACUGAUGGGUGUUACAGUCCAGAAACAUCCAGGCACCACACAUUCCCCACCCCAUCCAGUAAAACUUGGGGGCUGAGGAUGUCUUUCCCUUGGCAGACCCCAAAGCCUCCUUCUUUACCCCCCCCCCCCGCAAAGCAUAAACCUAUGUCUAAUUUCCCUGGGUCUUGCACCAUGCAGACAUUUUGGACUCUAAAUCCUAGCAUUCCUGACCACUAGCUUUGGCUGAUGGGCUCAAGGUCAAAAACAUCAAGAACAGACAAGGAUGUUUUCCUCAACCUAGUACCUUCCACAUGGUUUGGACUUUAAGCCUCAGCCCUCCUGCCCUUUGACUGAGGCAUAACCAGUAGCUGGUUGGGAGUUGGGGUGGGGGGCAAUCCAGCCAAAUAGGACUUUAAAAGGAUGGAGUGCAAUCCUUGAAUCACAAUACCUGUCCUUGGAUUCAAGGUUGGAAUUAUCAGCAGUGAAACCACAUGAGCUUAACUUGGUACUGGAAAAUCUCACCUAGGCUCAGAUUCAGAAGAGAAGGAACACUCAUGAGGAUGAAGACAGAAUUUCUUCCAUUAAGCAGUGGCAAAGACACAAAGGACCCCAAAGAGGGCUGAGUUCAGCAAUAAUAUGACAGAUGGUCCUGCAAUGAAAGGAAGGGCCAAUCAGCAGGGCCACGCUCAGGUGGAGAAGAGGCAACCGUCAGGCAUGCUGCUUCCUGGCUGCCAGACACAUGCCUCUGAAAUAGCCAGAAGCAGAGCAUGAAUUCAACUGAUGGUUCCAAGAACAAUUCACUGAAGAUAGACUGUCUGAGAAGAGUGCUUCUGUUCAGCUAUCAGAAAAUA